UACAUUUUGCUUAGUCUAGCACCCAGGAAUGUAUAUACCCACACUACACUGUCAUGUGCUAACAAGUGACAAUUCAGAAAAAAAACUGACUGUCCCUUGGACUGUCCUAAGCCAAGCUUGAGCCACCAUUGGCACAUGUGAGACAUAGGAAGUGAUGUAGAGAACUGCCUUUGGAGUUCUCAUGACUUUCUAUGGGGAGGCCUGGGCGCCAGUUGGCCCUGAAACUCGAGCUUGGAAGUGCUCCCUCAGACAGCUUCCUUGAGACAGUCAUGUGAUGUAAUCAUUUGGGAAUUUCUACUUUGUACCUGUUCAAAAGAUAUCCAGCUAUGGAGAAGCUUUGCAGGAUCAUUCAAUACAGUAAAUGUCAGAAAAGGUUGAGUUCCAUUGCUAAGAGGGACAUCAGUGUUCAAGAUAUAAAGUACCUGUUUUCUAUUCUAACUGCAAAUCUACAUGAAGCAGAAAUAUUUGCUAUCUACUUCUGGAGCUGAGAAGACAAAACUACAAAGAACAUGGCUCAUAUGGAACUAUGCUUUCCUUGAUUUCAUAUGUAUAAUGUGUAUUACAUGUCUUGCCUUCUCAAUGAGUGGAAUACUAUGGAAGAAGAAAAUGUG
rnacentral:lncRNA from 1 species